GAUGAAGAACGUAGCGAAACGCGAUAGGUAAUGUGAAUUGCAAAUUCAGUGAAUCAUCGAGUCUUUGAACGCACAUUGCGCCCCCUGGUAUUCCGGGGGGCAUGCCUGUCCGAGCGUCAUUGCUGCCCUCAAGCACGGCUUGUGUGUUGGGCCCCGUCCUCCGAUCCCGGGGGACGGGCCCGAAAGGCAGCGGCGGCACCGCGUCCGGUCCUCGAGCGUAUGGGGCUUUGUCACCCGCUCUGUAGGCCCGGCCGGCGCUUGCCGAUCAACCCAAAUUUUAUCCAGGUUGACCUCGGAUCAGGUAGGGAUACCCGCUGAACUUAAGCAUAUCAAUAAGCGGAGGA
rnacentral:misc_RNA from 1 species